CUGACUAGAAAAGACCUGUACAGUAAAAAAUAUAAUGUAUAAAAAUCAAAAGUCAUAAAUAGACUAGCAGGGUAAUAUCACCAGCCUCGGGAUCAGGAAAAGAAUAUUGAGUGCACAGUGUUGAAGGACACCAAAGAGGCAACCAAAUCCAAUAAAGUAGGAAUAGUGUAUGAUUCCAGCUACCCAUAUAGAGAAGCAAUUUCUUAUUACCUUAAAAAGUUUGAUUCCUGGAACAUAACAGACUAUCCUUGACUAAGUCUUAAAUUGCAUGCAGGAGUUAACCCAAGUUGUAACCACAGUUUAGCCACUAAGUAAUUAUAGUGCGGUCACUAUUAAGUGUAACAUCCUUGGGGAGGCAUUGUACCAAAAAUUAGCACAGUGACAAAACUCCAAAAGGGUUUCUAAAAAGUGAUGACACUAGUCAAAAAGAUUCAAAAGGUCAAAAUAAACUAAGCUAAAAUCCUUAGAUUGAUCAACCAUAACAGUCAAAGAGCAUACAUUCCCCGCCUCUCAAAAAGGAAUCAGGAAUGAAGAAACCCACCAUGCCAUGAUUGAAUAGCAAGGUUCAAGAGGUUUUUCAUGCCAAAUGAGUAUUCUUUACUAAACAGAAAUCCAACCUCAGUGAAACCAACAGAAAGGAGUACACUAUGGCAGGUAAAAGUAGAGAGGAAAUCUGAAGUGGUAAAAGGAAAUUUGAAGAGCUAA